rnacentral:sRNA from 1 species
UAUGUGUGUGAGUGUAUGUUUGUGAGUGUGUGUGUGUGUGUGUGUGUGUGUGUGUGCUAGUGGUGGUACUUGUUCUUGUGAGGAGGUUUCAUGCAGCUCAGGCUGACCUCCACCUCUCUAUGUAGCUGAAGAUGACCUUGAACUUCUGACCCCACCCCUGUCUCCAUCUCCCAGGUGCCAGGAUUACAAGUCUAUGCUACCUCACCCAGUUAAUGCAAUGCUAGGACUCAAACUCAGAGCUUUGUGCGUUUUAGGUAAGCACACCGCCAGUCGAGCUACACCCUCAACCCUUCUUGCUGUUCGUGGUAUGUAUUUUUGACAGGCACUGGCAGGGUCAAGGGGCAGACUCUGGAAUUCACCAGUGCACUUGUGGGGUCAGAGAACACAGUAUGGAGGGAGCCCCUCCAGCUGUGCCCACUGGGGGUCUGGUGUGUGUCCGGUACGUCCUGAGAAGGGAUUUUCUUUCACAUAUUCCAUCUCUGGUCUUCACAGAAGUAUAUGUGGAUUUUUAAAGUGAUACUCAAGGGUUCACCUCGAUCCUUUCCUGUUAAGUUGUUUUUCUCCGUGUGGUAUAUGAGAUGACUGACCAUCUAUCCAGGUUAACUGAGUCCUACAUUAAUUUGAUUAAUUAAUUUAGUGACUACUUAGCAGGCUAUCCCAGGACACUUGUAUUAGCCACUUCUCUCUUAUCUGUAGUGGCUUACAGUUAAUUUGGCAAGGAAAGCAUACCUUAAGGACCAUGAGGCGGCUGGUUGCUCUGUGCCAGCAGUCGGGAAAGCAGAGAGAAGACAGACAGAAGGACCCCACUAUAAAACCACGCCACUUGAACCCCAGUGACCCACUGUCUCAGUGAGACUCCAUCUCCUGAAGGUUCUACAGCUCUCCAGAACAAUGCAAUGAGCUGGCGGGAAUUCCACAUUUAAACCACAACUAUGCACCGUUCCCAGCUUCCUAAUGCCAUGUUAUAUUAUGCUAAUCAGCAUAAGCUGUAUAGUGUGUUUCUGCCUCUCCUUAAGCACAGGCAGUGGAGUCUAGGGGAAAGGAGUUAGGUCACUGGAGGGCCUUUGAAGAGAGAAUCGGGGCCCCUUCAGUUUCCUGGACACCUCGAUGUGAUCAGUUUUCUCCACCAUACACUCCCCUCAAAAUGAAUUCCCUCUUCACCGCCACAAGACAAUGAUGGUGAAGUCACCGUGGACUGCAAUCUCUGGAACUGAGACAAGCCCUUCCCUCCAUGAAUCCUUUGCCUUAGGUGUGUUCUCACAGCCAUGGAACGCUGAAGCUAACAGUGAGCACGACGGUUAGCUACAGAGGCUGUCCUGGUUUGUAUUGAUUGUCAGAUCGGCAGGCUCUAGAAUCACCAUGAAAACAAAUGGCUGGCAUGCUUGUGAGGCAGAUUGUAAGCUGGAUUAAUUGAGAAAGGAAACCUACUCUGACGUGGGCAGUUUCAUCCCACAGACUCAGGUCCUGGACUAUACAAAGAGGAGAAGGCAGCCUGGCCCCUGUAUUCAUCUCUCUUUUCCGGUCUGGGGACAAAAUUCGAGCAGCUGCAUCAAGCUUCUGUCACUACGCCUACUGUACUACGAUGGACUGUAGGUGAAAGCCUUGAGACAGACCAGACCAGAACAAACCUGUCCUCCUGUAAGGCACCAUUGUUGGGUGUUUGUUAGUGAUGCCUUGGCUCUGAAGCCAAGCUGAUGGAGUUCAGACACAAGCCAUUACUCUGGCAGAUUCAGAGAAGCACUGCAGCGCCCCUGGCCUCCAGUGCUGACUCAGCAUGCAUGGGGCUUUGUUGUUUCUUAUAAAUCAACAUAGCAAGUAUGAUGAGCUGCCAUGUGCACAGUGGUGGUGCCCUAGACUUUCCUUAGAGCAGGUGCCCUCUUUAACUGGUUCUGAGGAUACAGGUGGUAUUUGUGAGUGAUCCUAUAGAGACCCACAAGGCAAGGGGCCAAGGUGGCCUCUGGCCAACUGUCACUGGGUGCUGAGGCUGUCACUCUAAUACUACUGCAAGCAUAGCCAUCUGCUGACAGCCACAGAUCCUUUCCUGUUGGUGUCCCAGAUGAAAUUUUGGCGCUGGCUGACCGCUGGACUGCAGCUCAUGAGAGACCCUAAGUUAGAUCAUUUAGAUCCAGACCCUCAGACCAUGGGAGAUAAGGGCAGAGGAUUGCUUAAGCUGGUAACUGUGUAGCAAUCUUGUAGGCAAUAAUAGAUAACUUUGUAUUUACUCUCAGUAUGACCUCGAGAAAGUCAUUAAAUCAAUUUAUGCCCUAAUUUCCUCAUGCAGAACGUGGAAAUUAAGCCAAUGUUGCAGGUCUGGAUGAGCAUGAAGCAAGUUAACUGGAAUAUGUUUAAAGCCAUCCCAGCUAGAGGUAACUUGUCACACAUAAAUGUUGCCUAGUGCUUUUAGAGCACCAGCAGAUUCUGUGGCCUUUCAGGAACAGCCUUCUCAGAUCAGCAAUUGCUCCUUCUGCCUGUCCUCUCUGCUGGCAAACCUAAACUAACACUCUCUCUCUCUCUCUCUCUCUCUCUCUCUCUCUCUCUCUCUCUCUCUCUCUCUCUGCAGUUAGAGAUUUUCUCAAAGCACAAAGCAAUUUCCCUGGGAGCAUGGCCCAGAACCUUCUCUGGGGAUCUUUCAGCACCAUAGAAAGGGCAGGUAGCAGUUUAGCUUGGCCAGUAUGCGGGGACCCAGAAGCACAGCAUAGCUGUGGAUAUCUGCUAUAUUCAUAUUUCUUAUACUGCAUUCCUGUAGGGGCCAGCAGAGUAUCAGAGAACUGUGCCGAGAGAAUUCUUCCCAGCUCUGAAGACCAGAGAAAGACUUCCUGCCUCUCAAGGGUCCUUUCGCUUUUCUGCCACGAACUCCCAAACUCUCCUCCUUGCAUCUGAUCAACUUCUACACUUCCUGUCAAUCUCCUUUAUGCACCGCUUCUCCUGCAUCAGCACCUUGCCUUCAGAUCAAUCUUCUGCCAGGGUCCAGCGGGGCACUCUAUGCUGGUUCCUUUUUCUUCAUAGUACUUUAUGUGUGUGACCCUUUCUCUUUCCCAUCCAACAGGCCCUUUUGGUUUUGUGGCAGAACAAGGCAGGAAGAGAAAGAUAUGAAGAUUAAAAUGUGGGAGAAAGGACAGACCACAGCCAACCAUGAGCCAUGCGUAAUGAGAGCAGGAGAAAAGCUUGAGACCUACACUGCAGACUACAGAGCCAUCCUGUUGGUGAUGUCCGAUCUGUCACGCAAGAGUGUGCAUCUUCUCCAGUGGCUGACAGGACUGACCACUCCAAGAAGGAGGCAAGCUCACACUCACUCUCAAGAGUAAGUGACUGAUUCUAACGUUAGCUUCUUUCAGUGCACGGGAUUGAGGAUAGAGGAGUUUGGAAGUAGAACUUCUGCUGCAACUGUGCAGCCUUUGUGGGAGGUGCUUCUGCCAGGGGUGUCCUACCUGCGUGUUGCUGCCACUCAGAGGAAGGCGUCACAGCGUGCAAGUUCUCUUUCAGCACAGGAAAGAGAAUUAUUUUCAGGGAUGACUUUGUCACUGGCUUUGUAACAUGGCUUUGUGACUACGGGCAAAAGUCUUCCUGGAUAUAAAUUACCCUCCAGAGAAUGAGACCUGCUAUGGAAGGAAGGAGGGAGGGAGGGGAAGGAGGAAAGGGAAGGAAGGAAGAGGUUUGCUCACAGACCCAGUAUUGUUAGCACCAGGAGCACUCGAGCUUGCUCUUGUAACACUGCCCCCUCCCAACCCCCAUUUACCACUCUCCCUCUCCCUCUCUCCUUCUGCCCUUGAGAGACACUGUAGUUGUGUGGGUGGGUGGUCGGACAAGUGGGUGGAUAGACAGACGGAAGAGGGAGUUUCCUUCUUGGGAUUCUUGUAAUUGGUAUGUGGUUUACAUUCCAAUCAUCUGGAAGACUCUGAUAUUAAUCGGAAACAGCUUGAGCUCCACUUGCCUUGGGAUGCUGAACUCAGGCAGAGGUCUCUGUUUCCUUUCCUACAGGUUAACCCCUCUCCAAGUGUCUGUCAGCUUCAGUAACGUGGCUCUCAUCUGGACGAAGAGCACCAUUACACAGUUCAAAAAACAAAACCAAACCCAAGCAGUGCCAAGAAACGUCCAGCAGGGCUGGAAAGAUGUCUCAGGGCUCUGGGCUGCUGGCUGCUCUUCCAGAGGACCUGGGUUUGAUUCACAGCACUUGUGCAGUGGUUCACAGCUGUAGCUCCAGUGCCAAGAGAUCCAGUGCCCUUUCUGGCUUCCACUGUCUGUGUGGUGCAGACAAAACACCCAUGCAUAUACAAUUAAAUUUAGAAAUAAAUGUACAAUGAGGUUACUGGUGGUUCUCCCCCAAAGAAAUAUUAAUAGUUGUAUAGUUGCAAAAGAUUUCCACUCUCCAACCAGUAAAGGUUAUAUACAUUUUAUUUACAUAAAAAUAAUUUUUCUAUACCCAUAGCUUGAGCCCUUCAUGAUUUUACUUACUACAUAUUAAAGAUCUAGUUCAUUCUACUGCACUGCAUUGUACGCUGAAUUCGCAUGUACUGAUAGCUGCAGUUCAAGCUCUAAUGAUUACCACAGACUGGGUAGCUUUGGAAACAGCAGUUCAGUUUUCACAGUUCUGUAGGUUGGGGUGUGUAAGACCAAGCUCCCGUCAGACUGAGGGUCUAGCCAGGACCCACUUCUUGGUUCCUCUGUCUUACUAAUCCCUCAUACGUCUCUUCCUACAAGGCGCUGAUCAAUUAAAGUGGUUCACCGAGCUUGGAACUUGGAUGGAAUUACUUGUUUGAUGUAUUUUUGUCCUCUCUGUCUGGAGUAAAAAGGCAUAUAGUCCCCAGGGAGUCAUGCAACACUUGCUACCUGGACAUGAACAGGACAGAAUCAAAAAUGACUGGGAAGAACAAAUGCAUGGCCCUUGCUACUUGUGGUAAGACACGCAGCUGAGGCUAAGCAUCUGAGGAUAGCCUAUCUGUGGACUGACCCCACGAGGGGCCCACUGCCUCCUGCGGUUAUGGUGGUGUGACUUCUUACUGUGGCCACAGCUGUGAGGUCCCUACUGUUAGGUAGAAAGACUCAUGACUAAGGCUGAACUGUCUGAAUGUGGAAUAUCUGAGGGGGGGAAUCCCAGAUGGUUGUUUUCUUCUAUAAGGUAUGAAGGGGCACUCCUCCUCGAUACAUAGUGUCCUCGGUAUGAAGACCGUGAAUAAAAGAAAUGGGUCAAGAGUUAAGGAUGGCACCCUAGAAGUAGAACAUAUUGGGUGUGAGAGCGUAGGCAGCCAUUCGUGGCCUCUGCUAUGGCAGUAUUACAUGCAACUGAGGUGCCACCUAUGGGAAGGGGGACAUUCCAUGGACGACACCCUCUGCAUUAGCCUCUGGUUUGGAAUGAGAGGUAGAGGACAUUGGAUAGCAAGGAGAGAGAUAAUGAUGUGCAAAUGAGGGCGAAUACCACUAAAGUCACAUCCUCAACCCAGAGAAGAGAACCCAUGAUUCAGCAUGCAGACAGGACCUCAGUCACAGUCCAGGAAACCGAUAAUUAGGGAAUACUUUACCGCUAAACUGCUUGAAUUGGAAACAGCUUUUAAACAAGAAUUGAAAGAGGCUCUUAGAACCUGGUUCAAGAGGUGCGGAUAGAAUCAGCCAAGCAUCACGAAAGCAGAGAAACGCAGUGACCUAAUUCCUCAUCUUUCCUUGAGACAAGGGUGUCAGGACCUGAAGCACUGUGGGAAAUCAGGCCCCAAAGGGCUGGUCCAGAUAGGCCAUCUGGGAUACUUUCACUCAGAACCAAACCAAUCUGCCCUGUCCCAGGCUCCGCCUUCCCCUUCCUGCCUGGUGCAUAGACUGAGAGGAAGCACUGACCAGGGACCCCACCCACACCCACACUCUCCCAACUCCCAGGGGUACUUCAGCAGCGCUGGUACACAGGAGAUUGGGAACCACAGCAACUGUCCCAGCCCCCACUGUGUCCCACUCCAGGAAACACGGACUAAGGUCUCCCAUUGCAGACUGUGUUCCACUGCCCUCCACCCUCUUGCUCCCUACCACCCCGGCAGCUUGUCAGCAGCUCUUUGGUGAUGCUCCAGAUACCCCAGUGGUGAGACUGACACACACACACACACACACACACACACACACACACACACACACACAGACACAGACACACACACAGCAGCCCAGCAGGACAGGGCUACAGGUUCUGUAGAGACCCUAUCUGAAAAACCAGAAAAGUAGUAGUAGUAAUAAUGAUGAUGAUGAUGAUGAUGAUGAUGAUGAUGAUGAUGAUCAAAUCAGUGGGUAAAUUGAGCUUGUAAAGUGCUAAAGCAAUCAAGAGGGAAAAGGAAAAGCUAAACGCAGAAUCCCGAGGAUUUAGCUCAUGGUGCAGUUCUUUUCUAGCACGAAUGAGGCCCCGGCUUCAAUAACACUCCCUUCGGGUAGAGGGAGGCAGGAAGAUAGGACUUCAAGGUCACCCUUGACUACUUAGAAAAUUCUAGGCUGGGAUGGGCUGCAUGAGACAGUCUCAAAAAGAAAAGGAAGAAGGAUAGAAGGAAGGAAGGGAAUGAGAGAGGGAGGGAGGGAGGGAGGGAGGGAAGGACGAAGGGAGGUGAUCGGACAAAGGGUGUGUCCAGGUCACUGGAAAGAAAAUGAAAAGACUGGUGACAAGCCAGAGUUCCUAGAGGAGAAAAUGACAAGAAGCCAAAUAGUCUUGUGCGUUGUCAGUGCUUGUGAGCCCCAAGGAGGCUGUAAAACCCAAGCAAUAAUUCCACAAAGGAAUAAAGGAAGAAGCCUAAGAGAAGAAAACGCUGAAGUUUGCCCCAGGGGUUGGUAAUUAGCCCUCAGGAGUGUGGUGUGCACAUUUUCCUCCCAUAACAGAAGUGUGUGUGUGUGUGUGUGUGUGUGUGUGUGUGUGUGUGUGUGUGUGUGUGUGUGUGUGUGUGUUUCUGAGGGGUCUGACCAACCUGGAAUCUAUUUAGCUUUAGCAGUCAAGUGUGGCCAGGAGAUUGGCAAUGUCCUCAGACUUUGCCUUCAGAAUAUCAGAACUGGAUGCUGUAUGAUGAGCUGGUGCCUGCAUGGAAACUAGACCAAGGCUCUACUCCCUCUUGUCCCAGGCUAGAGGAAGCAACAGAAGCUAAGCCCUACUGUGUCCCUAGGGCUGGGGAGACUCACAGAAGGCUUUGGCAGCAGACUGGGAUGACUAUGUAAUUAGAGAGUGCUGGUAAGAUACUACCUCUCACCCACACAAAUAUACCCAAUAUUGCAUCUUUGAGGAAAUGGUCCACAUUUGCAAUUGAAUCUUUUCAUGCUGUAAUGAACAUUGAUAAUGUUUGUGCACUUGGGCUUGCACCCUUAGCUGCAGAAUAUCAAGACCAUAUGGCACAGCAGUGACCUUCAGACAUCCCACCAACCUUUGUACAAAGACCCUGCUGUGUAGGUGGCAUGCUACCUUGAAAUUCUUUUACAGAUUAUGAAAAGCAUCUGAAAGGUGUGUAAAUGUAUCUAAAGAGGCAAGGAGGGGGAAUUCAGUCCACUCAGGCUGGGCACAGCUGGAAAACUCUUGGGUGUUUUUUGUUGUAUCAAGGGUAGAUGGUAACCAACAAGGACUGAGGAAAAUCCUACAACAUCCUGUGCCUCUAAAUGUAAGAAUAACUGCUACAGAAUUUAAGUUCAGAAGGCAUCCUAUAUGGGUGGGAAAGGCACAUCUAGAAACCAUAAUGUUAUUGAAUAUGAUCCCAGUGUCAGGAGUAGGUUACCUUCCUAUGAAUUGCUGGGCUGGGAACAGAAAAUGGAUGAGACCACCUAUGUGAUACAGGCUACAGAUAUUGCUGCUGAUUGCAUGUCAGAAUGAUUGCCUAGACAGACUACAUUGUUUUCACAACAUGAAGAAACUGGGCUAGGUCUGAGCUGAAAAACCCCUCCCUCCUGACAAGCUUUUGGAGUGUUGGAAGGGGAUAUGUGGACUGCUGGUAAAGGAUUGUUGGCAAUGGUCCUGCUUAUCUAUGGACCCUGAAUGUUAAUACUAUUUGCAUGCUAAAUAAUGUGUCUAUGGGUGCAACAGUGGUACAACUGAUACGGGAUGCGACCAACUACUUAUCCAUUGGUUUUAAUGAUCACUCCUCAGGAAGGGAUCCAUGUUUGUACUACAAUCCAGACAAAAACAAAACAAAACAAAACAACCCAAAACCCCGUAGCUGGAGAAGUCAUAGCCACGGUGAAGAAGAUACUAUGUAAAAAUGCCUUUUAAACACAUAUGUUUACAACCUAAGUCUUUUGUUACUGUUGGUGCUGGUCAGGGAAGCUCUCCUCUCUGUGGGAAGAAGAUA